GGAACCUCGGAAAGGGCUGCUGGGUAGCGUUGUAAGGCUGAUAAUAACUGUUACUAGUAUCAGUAGAGUUGGCAGGUCUAGAAACGGAGGUGGACGGUUUUGAUCAAUUAUCUGUGGUACAGAACUAGACUUGGCACCUGAAUGUACUGGUGGCUCGUGAAAAAGCAAAGUAUCAUCGUCGUCUGAAUGGUUUUCGGUCAUCAUGUGUAUAACGAAACGGAAGGUAUGCUACUCGGUAAAGGCAGAACGUCGAAUAACUGGUUAUAAAAAUAUCUUUUAUUUAUAAUAAGAUUCUGCACGAGAAUCACGAUCCUACCCUCGUACAAACGGGUAGGAUACCUGCAUUGCGACAUACAAUAGCCAAUCAAAUCAUACAAUAACAUAAAACCAGGUAUGCAACCAUGUGCUCAUCAA
rnacentral:lncRNA from 1 species